rnacentral:rRNA from 1 species
CAGCAGUGGUGAAUAUUGCACAAUGGGCGAAAGCCUGAUGCAGCAACGCCGCGUGAGCGAUGAAGGCCUUUGGGUCGUAAAGCUCUGUCGGAAGGGAAGAAACAAAUGACGGUACCUUCUGAGGAAGCCCCGGCUAACUACGUGCCAGCAGCCGCGGUAAUACGUAGGGGGCAAGCGUUAUCCGGAAUUAUUGGGCGUAAAGAGUGCGUAGGUGGUCUUGUAAGCGUGGGGUGAAAGGCAGUGGCUCAACCAUUGUAAGCCCUGCGAACUGCAAGACUUGAGUGCAGGAGAGGAAAGUGGAAUUCCUAGUGUAGCGGUGAAAUGCGUAGAUAUUAGGAGGAACACCAGUGGCGAAGGCGGCUUUCUGGACUGUAACUGACACUGAGGCACGAAAGCGUGGGGAGCAAACAGGAUUAGAUACCCUGGUAGUCCACGCCGUAAACGAUGAGCACUAGGUGUCGGGGCCGCGAGACUUCGGUGCCGCAGUAACGCAUUAAGU